GGAGCAUCAUCGGAUACAGAAAUGGACACUUGGUCCUGCUCUCAGGAAGUUGAUAGAUUCCACUAGACUUGGGGAGAUGGGGUGGGGGAAGGGGGAAUCACUGAAAAGCAAACUCCUGUGUGGAUAACUACCCAAACCACCAAGCAGAUAGCAGAAGGCUGCAUCAAAUGAAGGGUGUGGGUGAGAGAUAGGACAGUAGAGAUCAGAAGAUAACCACGAUUUGGAGGUGGCAAGCAGGUAGAAGGAAGAAAGAACUCUUCCACCCACCCUCUCAAUUUUGACUAAAGCUAAAUGGCUGAGUAGUGGGACUGGGGUCAAGCACUGAAUGGAGAUAUUCUGUAACAAGGCAGAUGUUCUGGAAAAACAAGGUGAAUGAGUAUUUUACAAAGAUUAGCCAGGAUUAAGUUUGCAAGAUGAAUUAGAACAAAGAACUGAAGGAGAAUGCCCCAGCAGGGAGCCGCUGCUAUCUGGCUGGAACGCUUGGGGAAGACCUGAUCCCAUUGCGGUGACCUUGACACAGACCACUUAACCCCAAGAUGUCUGUUUUCUCAUCUGCAAAAUAGGGGUGAUGACAUCAGCCCUCUAGAGCUAGGAAAACCAAUAUCCUAAAGGCACUGAGGUAACACCCCAGGUGCCUGGCUCCCAGCCAGUGAGCUGGCACACACCAGCUAGAACAGGUGCGGGUAUAACGAGGUGAAGGGAUGAACCAGGAAGGGGAUCUCUCCAACUCACCCUGAGACCAUCAGAGCAGGUGGGCAACUGAAAAGGCGUUCUUUAUGUAAACUGUAUGGGUUCAGGGCCAGGUCUGAUAGUGCACUUUGUAAUCCCAGCCCCCAUGGCUCCCACAGGAAGCAGAGAGAUUGGGAGAUCACUUCUAGUAGGUCAUUUCAAGUUUGAGGCCAGGCUGGGCUACAGGGUGAGAUGCUGGCUCAAAAAUAGCAAUAAGAAAACCUUAGGAGUACAAACGUCCCCUAAAAGAGAAAAGGACCUGCUCCCCGCCCCCCAGGAAACUCUACUGCCCCCCGCCUUUCGACUCUAUCACAGUGGUAGUGUCUAAGCCACUUAGUCAGGCUACCCAAGCUGGGAGGAGAAGCCGUGAGCUUGGAGCUGUGCUGUAGCUCCACCGUAGACCACUUUCUCAAACCCUGGUUCGAUCCCUAGGACCCUCUCACUUCCUAGAAUGGAAGGGAGUUCUGAACUGGCUCAUCUUGCUGCCCCCUGACCUUUCAGAGACUAGGACUAUAACAGGCUUGUUCACCGCAGUCUCCACAGGCUCAGUCAACACCUCAGACCUCACAGAAAGAAGUUAGUGCUCUCUAGCUUGGCUGCACUUGCAGGGUGCAAGCCAUGCUGGCUUCUAACUCAUUACAUAGCCAAGGCUAGCCUUGAACUCAUCUUCCUACAGGUGUGUACUGCUACACCUGGCCUUCAGGUAUUCUUCAGACAAACUCCAUCUUAUUACAUUUUCCAGUGAUACUCAUACCAGUAAACUGCCAGGAAGUGUCGUGUUGACAAGCCUUACGCUCCAAGGGGCAAGCGUGUGUGUCCUGUGACAAGCCAGGAAGCUUCCUUUCUCCUGGUCCUUGCUUUCUUUCCUGGGACAUUAAAGCACCAUACAAAAGCUGUGAAAACGUGGGUUUCCAGCUGCACAGAGGUAAGGCGAGCCUCCAGGCCAGAUCGCUAAACAGAGAGCAGCACUGCCUGGAGGCCAGGGGUGAUGGUCACUCAACCAGCUUGACAAACCUUGGUUCUGAGUUCAGCAUCCGUAGCAUGUGAAGGAGGGAUUGAUGCCACUGCUGCCGUCACUCACAGGACAGGCACCACCUAUGGUUCCUGUACAGCCACACAUGGGAAAUCGCUACAUCUUUUCUUCCUUCUGCCUAUCUGCACUCAUUGCAGACACCAGACCCAGAGACAUAGCAAAGGCUAUGAGGUCAGUGUGAAUGGAUAUCUGCUCUGAACUUGCCCCUCAGUCCACAGAAGCCUCAGUGUGAAGCAGCCAACAUUCCAUAUGACAUUCAAGGCCCCUACAAAGUAGAGGUCUCCCUGAUAUGUACUCAUAGCUCCACACUCUGAACCCACCUGCUGUUCCCUCCCACAGGGCCCUUCUCUUUCAGGUUCCACCAGCUGAAACCCUGGCUAACUUAUGUUAGCUUACCAGCUUUCUCCACCAACAAAGUUCCUCUAACCCUGGGCUGUCCAUGGAAGUAGCAGCUAGUGUAUAUAAGUUAAGUUAAUUAAAAUUAAGUAAGUAUUAGGCUGUAGUUCCUCAGUUGUAUCAGCCAUGUUAUAUGUGUUGAAGAACCACCAUUGUGGGUGCAUGCACAGAAUACAGAGCAACCCCAUUAUCGCAGAAAGUUCUGGAUACGGCGUCUCAGACCCCUCCCCCAUCUCUCCCCACUGUUCCUUAUCUCCUACUCCUUUCCUGCUCCCUGCCACUCCACUGUAUAAUCUCACAGACAGCUGGUUUUGCCUCUUAGGAAGAGGGCUGGACUCAUCUCCAUGAGAUUACACCUCCCUAGAGGGCAGGCACAGAAUCUUCCUUCCUGUCUUCCUGUGGAAACUGUGGACAGGGCACCUUGCUGCAAUGGUGGAGGAAUACUGCAGCUGAAUGCAACACUGCCUCAGGAGCUUCCUGUCUACAUGCAUCCCUGCAUUCAUCUGCAGACAGAUCCUGCCCAUAGCAGACAUUCUAAUGAUUGCCAGGAGGUCCUGGUUUAGGGCUCUCCAAAGCUGCCAGGAAAUGUUCGUUUUCCUAUUCCUGUGCAACCCAUAUGGAGGCUGCAAGCAAAUGACCAGGACUGAGCUGCUGGCAGUGAAGCUAAAAAUAGCCUCAGAGCCAACAGCCUGGAGUUAGCAGGACUUGUUGCUAAGGAAACAGUCAGAGAGAGAGCAACCAAGCAAGAGAAAGUGUCAGACAUUCACCAGGAGAGCAAAGGCUGGGCUGGGGGACUCCCACCUAGAGAUGCUCUGCCUUCUGGCAGCUUCUGACUACUGUUCAAGUGGGGUAAAUAUUCCCCUGUCCCUCAGUACCUCAUCUCCAUGGCAACCACCAGGUCUGGGGUAAAGUACCAGCCCCUGGAAGGGAGGCCUCUGCCUAGAGCUAGUUGUUAUGGCAACAUCUCCCCUUUUCUUUCAUUCUCUCCCUCCAGGCUUCUCCUAAGGGAUGAGGUAGGGGUCAAGACUUGGCUUAACCAAUGGGACCAGGAAACACCUGCUAAGCAGCUGGGGGCUCCAGAGGCUCCUGGGAGCCCAGGAAGAAUCUGCUCCUGCCCAAGCUGGCCUCAACUUCCAGGCUCAGGUGAUCCUCCCACCUAGUGGGACAGACAGCACACCUAGCUGACCACUGACUUCUGUCAGCAUCCUUGGGAUGUAAAAAGUGAGUUCAACUAAAUGUUUGCUGCCUGAACUUUGGUUCCACCCCCCCACACACACCAUUUCCUUGCAAAUCACAUCAGUUUUUAAACAUACAGAAGAAUGAAUUGUUCUUGUUCAGCCCAUCUGAGCUGGAAUACAGACACAGGCUGACAGAGGCCGGGAAGAGUGGCAAUUCUAUGGCAACGCAGGGCACUGUGGCUCUGCAAACCAUAAAACUGCACUCCUUGCAGCUGUGAUGUGAAGCCUGAAAGGCCAGGUGACUGAAGUUAGGAGGAGCCCAGGACAGGGGAGAAGGGGCCCCAGGCCCAGUGGUGGCGGCUGAUACCUGCAAUUCCAGCACUUUAGAGGCCAGGGCAGGAAGACAGAAAGUUAGAUGUUAUCCUCGGCUCUAGAAUGAGUUCAAGGCCAGCCUGAACUGACACCAUGAAACAGACCCUCCUCAAAAUGAGCAAAACCAGAAGCAGAAAUGUUCUCAGUCCUCUGGCUGACCUUGGCCACCUGCUCCCAGAAGCCGCUCCCUGUCGUGGUCUUGCUUUUUAGGUCUGUUUUUCUGAUUGUUGAUUUCUGUUGGUCCCCAUGUCACUCAUGGCCUAUAUGACAGGGGCUGGAGAAAACAGCCUGCCUGUUCUGAUUUUGAUGUGGCAGGCAUCACUCUGUCUGUAGCCCAGGCUGGUAGUUCUGCCCUCCAUACCUGACCCUCAGGAAAGGCUAAACGUAGCGCCCCCCUUACUUCCUCUGCUCCUUGCACCCCUUUCGGAGCCCCCUUACAUCAUGGUAAAUCAUGGUAAAACGCGGCCGGUUCUCUCUGCCCACAGCUGCACACUGAGGUGAAUUUCUCCCCACGGCAGGAAGGUCCCUAUGGUCUGACCAGCAGCUUCCUCUCGAGUCUUCUUUCUCCUCGAAUUCUCUCCCAAACCCUGUAUACCACAUCUCUUGCCACCUCAACAUGCCGGCAGCUUCGGCCCUCCCUGUCCUCUCUGCCCAUGGUGGUUCCUUUUCCGAAUUGUCUACUGAAUGGUGAUGUUCUCCAAGAAAGUCUCUUCCAGGACCCCUGCCCCUCCCCCAAGUUGUGGUUCUUUUCUCUGCUCUACACUGCUCAGAUCAGCUCUGCCUAUAAGACAGGUUUGCUCUGAGCCUGGCAGCCUCCUUCCUCUGCCAGUGUGUGUCUCUGGGACAGUCUGUGUCAUUUGUCUCGGGCCACUAGCACAAUAAGCUGCAUCAUUAGUCAACACUGAGUUAAGUUUGUUAACUCCCUCUACUAAAACACAGAGUUCUUUGUGGAGCUAGAGAGAGGGCUCGAGCUCCCCAACAGUAGCCAUCACUGGGACCUCCCCUGAUUAGUGGGCAAAAAAAAUCAUGUUUUGUUUGUUUUGUUUUUCUGGUUGCUUAUUUUGUUUUUGUUUUGUUUUUGUUUUGUUUUUUAAAAGUCUCACUUGGCCUAGAACUCAAGGUAGACCAGGCUGGCCUAGAACUCAGGGUAGACCAGGCUGGCCUAGAACUCAGGGUGGACCAGGCUGGCCUAGAACUCAGGGUAGACCAGGCUGGCCUAGAACUCAGGGUGGACCAGGCUGGCCUAGAACUCAGGGUAGACCAGACUGGCCUAGAACUCAGGGUAGACCAGGCUGGCCUAGAACUCAGGGUAGACCAGGCUGGCCUAGAACUUGCAGUGCUUCUUUUGCUUCUGUCUCCUGAGUACUGGGAUUGCAGGUAAAUGGGCAUCACCAUGCCCAGGGGUUUAAUACAAUAUUGUGUAGCUCUGGCUGGCCUUGAACUUCUGGUCCUUCUGCCUUUCCCUCCUAAGGAUGGAGUUAAAAGUGAGCACCAUAAUAUUCAGUCUGUGCAGUGUUAGAAAUAGACCCCAAGGCUUCCUGCAUGAUGGUAAGUAUUCUACCAUCUGCCCACAACCCCCAGCCCUCUGUCUCUUCUGGGUGUUUUGCUGUGUGUCUGUGCACCACAUGCAUGCAGUGUCCAUGGAAGCCAGACAGGGUGCCCCAGCCAGACCCCUUGGGACAAGAGUUACAGAGAGUUGUGAGCUGCACUUAGAUGGGUGCUAGAACUAGAACCUGGGUCCUCUGGAAGGAGCAGCCAGGACUCUUACCUGCCGAACAUCUCUCCAAUCCCUCUAGACUUCUUUUAAGAUUUUAGUUAUUUUUAUUUUUAAUCAUGUGUCUGUGUGGGUAAAUGCAGGAACCCAUAAAGACCAGAAGAGGCUAAGGCUGGCAGAGACAGCCCUUGGAGCUGGAAAACACUUGUGAACCCACACAUGUGGGAGUCAGGGACGAAAAGGUCUUCUGCAAGAGCAGCCAGCACUCUUAACUUCCACGCCUCUCUCCACCGGAUGUGCCAACAUGCCAUGGUGGGCUUUGUUUAUGCAUCUUUCUGCUUUUGAGACAGUGUCUCCCUAUGACUAUGUAGCCUUGAUGCGCCUGGGAUUCACUAUAUAGACCAGGUUGGCCUCAAACCCAGAGAUCCAUCUGCCCCCUGCCUCCUGAGUACUGGGACUGUAGUCAUGAGCCUCCGUAUUCAGCUCUGGGCCUUUAGAAUCUAAAACAAUAGAGAAGGGAGGAGCACAGCUAUGGAGAAGGGAAAGCAAAACUAAUGUACAGAUUCUUCUAUAAUCCUUCUCCUAAGGAUGCUUCAGACACACUUCUAGGAGAUGUGAGCUCUGAGGCUUGCUCAGAUACUUAACUUAGCACUGAUGUUUCAAGUAGUGUAGGUGACAGAGGGAGCGAGUGGUAGAUCCCGAUUCCAGCCCUUCCCACCCCCAGAUAAUAAAUGUCUGGAAUUCCUGGAAUUAGGCAAUCUAUUUCUAUCACACUACAAAUCAGGAAACUGAAUUGAUCAACUCAUCUGGAGCAGAAGCUAAGACUAGAAACCAGGCUUCCAGAAUUCCAUUCCAACAUCAUCCUAAUCCAAUUUUACAACUUCAGACAAGCAGGCCUGAGAGAACAGCCAGACAAGGGCAGGGUGAGGGCACAGGGAAGCAGGCCUGAGUCACAGGAUGGCCUUGAGGGUCAGCCCAGGCAGCAGGACCUAGAAGGCCAGCAAGCUAGAGGGUCUAUCUGCUGAGCCAGGCACCAGCUUUGAAGACAAACGCACCUGAGGAAAGCCGGGCUAGGGGGGUCAGAGAAGUAACCUGAGAUAGCAAGGUUUUGACCAGAGACCUUCCACAUUUUUGGGGUGCGUGUGUGAGUGUGUGUGCAUCUGUCUGUCUGUCUUUCUGUCUGUCUGUGUAUGCAGGGUCACAGUGGAGGGCAGAGGGCAGCCCUUAUGAGCUAGUUCUCUCCUUUCACCUACAUGUGUUCUAGAGACAAAACUCAGGUUAUCAGGCACAGUGGCAGGUGUCUGCCCCAAGCAUCAAGCCAAACAUAAUCAAUGCCAGGAUGUGCCUCAGGUCUGUGGUGGAGGAAGCGCAAGCCCUUCCCCAGGUUCAUCCUUAGCUGUAGCCAGGAGCUGCGCCCUGGGUGUGGUUACCACCCUCACUUAAGUGGAAGAUGCUCACAAAGCUGCUCUUUCUGUGCCCAGAAGUGAAUGAACUAAGUGUGCAGCGUCAGACCUUGAGUUAGAGCCGAGCAUGGGCUAUCGAGUGUGUUCUAGGACAGUCUGGGCUACAGUGGGAGACUCUUUCUCAGAACAGACAAACCCAUCCACACCAAAGCUGGGCCUUUUGCACCUGUAAUCCCAGCGUUUAAGAGAUCAAGAGUUCACAGUGGUUCCUAGAGUCAAGUUUCAAGGCCACCCUGGAUUAACUGCCCCCAAACAACAGAAAAUGCCCUAGCCCAUCCGCAGUUAAUCCACAGUGGUGGUCUUUUUGACAAUUUCAGGGCAACCCAGGAGGUUAUUUCUAAUUACGGUGGUCAUGGGAUCCCCUUUAAAACUCACUCACCCUUUUGGUAAAGUUACUUUGUCUCAGCUGCAAAUGUUCCUGUCCUCUCCAGGGUGGCCAGGUACUGCCCAAGGGCAAGAGUUGGCUGUGGCAAGAGUGAGGGAUGUCUCGGUCAGAAGCAUCCAUACCACUGGCUACUCCUUUGCUGUUAAAUUUACUGAUCUCCACAGCGGAAGAGAUCACACCUACCAUCUCAUAUUCUAUAGCCUCUCCCACAAAGCUCCUGCUCAAGGGGUGCAGGGUGAUUGCUUAUUAAAUGGUGGAUAGCCCAGCAAGAGGUGGCCCUCUGGACACUCACAGACAGACAGGAAACAGUCUGUUACAACCCCAGGUUGUAAACAAAUGGACACCACCACAUUUGUUAAAACUCCCAGAAGCAGCACCAGCAGCACAAAUGGUCAAUAAACAUGAGAAGAUAACCAAGCCUCACUUAUCAUCUGGGAAAUGACAAUUAAAAUCCUAACAAGACACCCUGUCCCCCCCACUCCGAUUGCAGAAUGCAGGCUGACUGGCAUGGAAGCUGGACUUCGGUGUUGCUCUUUCCUAGCAAUUUGUAAAAUGCAAAAUACACACUUCUUCCACUUGGAUUUCUCUUCCUAGGGUUACGUCUUAUGGAAAAACAAAAGCACAAAGAAGCAGGCUAAGCCUAGCAUGCAAGCAGACCCUGCUUCGAUUCGUAGCACCACAGAAAACGGUCUGAGGCAUACAACUAAUAACCCAGCCACCUAGGAAGUAAAGGAAGAAAGGGCUGAGGCUCAACAUGAUCUUCAACUACAUACCAGGCUUGGACCAGCCUGGGCUACCUGCAACCUCCCUCACACACCAAGGAUGUGUACUGCUACAACAUGCCUGGAUAGCAAGAUGCUGCGACGACGGAAAGGGCCAGCAGGCAGAGCCUGGUUACAUAAAAGCAUGGCAAUUCCUACAGUGGAAAUACUCUAGGAAUUAUGUGGCCAAACUGGCCAGCCUUAUUGUAAGUGAAAAGCCAAACUGUAAAGUGAAACUGCAGAAUGGUUCCAGUCACAGACGUACAUGCCUAUGAGGCAGGCUUAGACCCGCAGACGGACAGAGAACUGUGCCUUGUACACAGCACACAGCAACAGCCUCCAAAAGGAUUCUAUUAUCUACGUGUGUGUGCCACUUUUGAGACUGUAUCUUACUCUGUAGCCCAAGCUCGCCUGGAGCUCACUAGGCAACCCAUUCUGGCUUUGAACCUGUGCUCUUUCUCCUGCUUCUGCCUCCUGAGUGCUGGGAUCUCAGGCAUGCACCACUGUGUCCAGCUCUGAAGCAUACUGGAUUAAAUUGUGUGGGGGUUGGGUGUGGGGGAGACUUUUAAAAUAAGAAUGUAUUUGUGUAAUACGUACAUAAUGUAAAGUAACUUUUAAAACUGAUCAUAUCAGCUGGA